UGUGGAAGGGUGUAAUGCCAGGGA
rnacentral:misc_RNA from 1 species